GAGUUGGACCGGAGGGAGAGACCGGGGAGGGAGUCCCGACGAGCAGCGAAGCAGCACGGGGUGUGACCGGCCAAACCAGGAUACUUUAUACUUCUUUUCUAAAAUACAUUUCCCGUAUAAAUGCUUAAAUGAAACCCAUGAAACGCUCGCAUGCGAAGUGUAGCCGCGGAGAACUUGGGCUCAAAGGCUGUCGUCGAAACCUCUGGAAUUGUCAGGAGAAAUUCCCUGACAGUUUAAGGUGUGGCUGUCCGCGUUGAAUAACCUUACCAAAAAAAAGUGUUGGUCGUGAGAGAAUACCCGUCAAGGGCUGGACCCCCCUUCUUGUGAGACCAGCAAACCUGCGUUUAGGCGUUCGAUCAUUUUCUUUUACCUCUUACAUAACAAAAUGCCACCUCGAACGCUGUGGCUUCCUUUCGGCUCCAACCGCGCCUCGCAUGCUAAUGAAAUAAAAACACCACAAUGUCGGAAUUGAAUGCUUUUGAGUGCUCCUUAUUGGCUUUAACAAGGCCUCCAGGAUGUAACGGACGUGGCAACUUUACAGUAGACAGCCGCCACAGGCCAACUGGGCGUGGGGAGGAACCGGCCCGAACACUCCUAAUAGUCCUAACAUGUCAUCUGCUGUCAUAGCGGCUAACUGUCUGGGUGGAAGCAGUGGAUUUACCUGAACUAAAUAUCUCCAGGUACCUCCUAUACGCUCAUCUGCACCACCGUAAGAGGAAGACCUACUUCCAGGAGUCUCCAGGGUGAUGGAUGUAAGAGACAAGUCGGCCUUCUGCUACCCCACGCCUUCCUCGGCAGGUUGCUCACCCUGCAGUCUGAUUCCAGCCUGGCCUAUUGGGAAUCAGUGGGAAUUGACCAAGAGCAGGACCGGAUCUACAAUACAACGACUAAAGAUUCGUGCAUCCUGUGUGGACCUAAUGAGCCAGUGGUGAGGAGCAGUGGGCCUCUCAACAGACAGGCUGGAAUGUGGACCAUAUGUAGCAGGCAUCCCAGGAAUGUAACUUGGCCUUGCUAAACUGACCAACCUAAAGAUCCUCAGAGCCAGGGCGGACGAGGAGGAGAAAAAGUUAUAGAGUGAAGGUAAUGUCCAAAAAAAGGUGUGUGAAAAUGGAUAACAGGGAUCAAGGACUGGAGAGAACUGGAUAUUUGUACCACAUCUAUUAUGACAAUAUGCUUCAGAAAAGUCAGAAUAAAACACUGUGUUUGUAGUUGUGUAGAACUGCACUAUAUUUGCCUUAUUUAAGAGGCACAUUAUUAGAGGACAUCUCAUUAUGAUGCAGUGCGCUUCUACACCACAAUAAUUAACAUAAUCUUUAAAGUAAUACGUCUUUGAUAGUGUCAGUCGUAACUAAUCAUAGUUAUCUUAGUUAAGGCAGAAUGUAUGAUCUUCUGGCUACCUCUGGUAUUGCAUCUCAUUAGUAUUGGUAUUGCAUCUCAAUGUGGCUGGUGACUGUAUUUUAGAGCUCCAUGAGCAUAUAGCAUGAUUUUGUUUAUUUAUGUUGAAGCCCUUAUUUAUCAUGUGGUCCCAGAGAUGCAUAAAUCAACAGAAAAUGAAUGAGUUGUGUUGGUCACACAAGUAAUCAAUGGCCAUUUUAUCCGUUGACCACUCGUAACUGUUUAUAUUCAUUUUUUUCCAAGUGUAUCCCAGAUGUACGUUGAAUUAACCAUAGUUUGUACAGAUGAAUAAAUAUUAACAGGCUCUCAAUAGUAUUAAAUUUCGGUUGCGCGGGGGGGGGGGGGUCAUAAUACUGUAAUGCAGGUGAAAUCAUCAAUCAUACCAUUUUAUCAUCAUCAUUACACAUAUCACAAAACUGGUUUAAAAGUGAAGCAAAAAUGUAAUUGUAGUCUAAAAGUGCUGCCAAAAAACAUAGAAAUAUGACAAAAUUUGUUCUAUAACUGCAAUGAUUGCUUCAAUGAGCAUCGUCUGCACUUUUUCAACACCGGGUAACAAAAUGUCUUACUGCAACAGGUGAAUCAAUACGUACCCAGUCACUCCUUAUACUUUAUCUUAAUAGCUGGUUGGAAUGUAGUAUAUCUUUAGCAAUGUAAAAGCAGCUGUAAGGUUAUGGGAUGUCCGAUCACAGUAUUUUUCCAGCUCACUACCUCACGAAAAGUGUCUUGUUCUCGUUAGCUUAGCACGCUGUGCUCUGAGGCUAUCUGGGUACAUCUGCAUCCAGCACGACAGGAAACUCAUUCGCACACACACACACACGCACACUUGCACGAAUGGUGACAUUUUUGUUUUCAUCCAACAUAACCCGGACUAUACUCCUUCCACAUGCAUGCAUACGCCCAGUCUACUGGAGAGUGAUGAUUCUCUAGAAUGGCAGCUGACCUCUACUCGGCAGCGAAUUUUUCUCCCCCCACAAUUUAUUCAAUGGAGACACACUGUCAUCAGCUUAUCAUUUCAUCAAGGCGUGCAGUUCUUAAUCCUUUUCAGUCAAAUGAGGAAUUAAUAAAUGCAAUUAGUAAAUUGACAAUGUCCAGUCCGAUGUCAUUUUAGCACUCUUAGGGUUUGGCAUGUGCAGCUGUUUGUUUCUAUGACUGACUGCUUGAAUCCAGAAGUUGUUGUUAAUUUGAGGUGAAGUUGCGUACUUGUAUUUGUGUAUAAUUGCGUACUUGUGUACAAUUAUGUAUUAUGAACAUCUGUGGAUUCAGAUGGGACUAUAUUCCAUGUACAAGCUAGUUUGGUCUUUUGUGUGCGUGUGUGUCUGUGUUUAGAUGCAUUUGAUUGGAAAUCUUCCAGAGUGCACAGGGCCAACUUCCUUUCUUUCUCUUGUUUUUCCGUGCGCUUCACAGGAUAUUGCAUGUGAGUUAUUGUUGCGUUUGUGCUUUUGUCUGUUUUUGUUCUUCGUAGAUUUGUACAUUUGUCUUCCCUGCUAUCCUUAAUCAAAGCUACUGUAGUUCUUCAGCAGCGUGACAUUUCCUUUUGAAGAGUGGUUUGAAACAGUAUCUCCAUGUUCAAAUGUGACACUUGGAGUGCCGGAUAACUGUGAAUUCUGAAAUCUAACCCUCGUGUCAGUAUGGUGGUGGAGGGUAGAUGCUUCAAGGCAAAGGAUGAAACUCAAGAGAUUUACUUAGCAUAGGCAACUGCAUCAUUAUCUUGGUCUGUAGACAUUUCCUGUCCUUCGGUUAAUAACUGGACUACUUAUUGCUCAGGGGUUAGGGUGACCAGAAAGAAGAGGAUGGACUCAUGGUGACAUCAGGGCUUUUUUUCCUCGAGCAAAGGUUGGCCGCAAACAUGUAUUAAAUACAACAAUGCAGUUUGACACACUUCUUUCUGAUGGAUGGAGGCGCUUACAUUCUUUAUGUUAACAUCCUGACUUUUAAGUCUCUGUUGGAUGCAAGUUCCCUUUCUCAUGUCAGAUUUUCCUAAAGAAUGCUCAGUACGUGUGUGUGUGUGUGUAAGAAAUGUGUCCGUCAGAACAGCUCGCAGCAGAUGCAGACGCGUACAUAGCCAGACUCCUAGUCAUGCCACAUCAUAGUCUCAUCACAGUGUGGUGGAUACACCGCCACCACCACCAUGUUGUGUGCUUCUCACUUCAUGACAUCACCCAUCCAGACACCAACCUGCCUCGGUAUACACACACACACACACUUAACACACAUCAAUGUACCACAAUGCCUUCCUGGUUCCAGAUGCGGCGUGUAAAAAGAAUCCUGUUCGACACGCUGUAAGACUCAUUUCCUUUUUCCCCACCUGCUGACUUCCUGCCAGCCCUCGUCACCGCUUCCUUUAACUAAUUCCACACUGCACUUGAAAGAAAUAAAAAUUAACAGCAAAAUGGCUCCAACAUUUACACGUGUUAGUAAGUUGAUGAAGUAUGUCAGGUUGGUGAAUGGGGUUAUUUGUGUGAGAAGGCAUGUUUGGCUUGUUGUUCUGUACAACAUCCCUAUAAUUAUCAUACAUUUUCUCUGUUACUUUCAUUGUAUUUUACUUUUAGCGUCUCUCUGUACCCGUGUUGCAUGUUAUUAACCCGCUGUGACAAUUUAAUUUCUCUGCUGGGAAUGAAUCUUAUCAAGGGAGCAAAUGUACUCCAUUGGCUUGUCCUGAAGCAGUUUUUUUGGUUUGUUUUUUUAAAUUGUUCAGUCAUUUGUUGGCACAAGCAAGACUAUACACUAUGAAGAUGUUGCAUAUGCCCUUCCAUACUCCGAAAAUCAGACUUUAUCGUUGGUUGUAUGUAUUUUUGCUUAUCAUUAUUGUUAAACUUUCCCCUUUAUUAUUAAUUUAUGACUAAAUUAAUAUGCAGAUUUAAACCUUAGCCAUCGUGAGUGGACAACACUGAAGCUUAAAUUCAACCCUUUCUCGACAUAAUCUCUAGUAGGGGGGUCUCCCAACUUUCAUCACCAUUAGACCCUACUUUGACAGUAAGAAAGAACAUAUACCUGGCAACAUUUAAAUUCUACUUUAUUUAUGACGCAGGUCCAAUCAACAGUGUGGUCAUUGCCUUUAUGCUAUUUUGUGAUAAUUUGUCCUUAAAUACGUAGAUGCAUAAUGUCUGAAUUGAUCAGUUAUAAAAUGUUGGAGCUACAGAUUGGAGAGCCCUGUUCUAGUGUCAAUUCUUCUCAAAGUCCUUGAGCCAGUUGCGUAUUUUGGAAGCUAAAAGAAACCGUAAAAUGCGUACAGUUACUUAAUCCUUUGAUGCUCUUUGAGCUGAGCUGUCUCAUGAUAUGCUGGCGUCUUGUGCGGUUGUGGAAUAGGGUUGCCCGUUACGUCAAUCACCGCUAUGAAGGUCGUGCGCGUCAAUUACAUGUGUCACCCCUGUCAGAAGCAUGAUUUUGUAGAUGUCGUGACAUCCGUCAGCAGUCGUCAGCUGUUGCACCUCUGCAGCAACGUAAAUGGUGAACAUGCAACUUUAAUCUUUAUUUUUCCGAUCACGGAUAAACUAACUCAGCAGUAAAAUGCCUUUUGUCGAAAACAAAAGUUAUCCAUCCGUUUGUAGCAGCUAGUUAUGUAAAAAAAAAAAAAGGCAGUUAUUUGAUGGCAUUGCUUUGCGUCCUUAACACAAAAGGGGGAAAAGUUAGGACAAUUCCAAGGACUGCCAGGGGGCCCAAAAAUAGGUCAUUAUUAAAAUGUAGAAAGGAGUGGGCUCUGUUUUUCAUGGGGACAAUAAUUCCUUACUGUACCCCUGCUAUUGGUGAUAUGAUCUGAAAAAGGAACCCUAAAGUCACCCCUUUUUUUUACCUUUUCAAUAGAACACUUGCUUCACUUGUAAAACUUAACAACGGAUGAGACGCCUUCUUUAAGGAGACUUCCACUAGUGGUAAAUUUCCAUUUAGCACGAAGGUGGGCUGGUUAGCUAACCAUUGAGAAAGGCCGGUCAUCUAGUCCUAUUAAGUAAAUUAUUUUUCGGGUUAUUUGCAUAGCUGAUAUAGAAGUAUAUUUUACCUUGCGUUUUGCUCAAAUUUUGUCAUGUAUGACCUCAAGAUGAAGUGGGUCUCUGAGGUUCCACUGUACAGUACAUAGAAAAACAAAUGCACACAGACAUUGAUUGCAUCCAGCGGUGUGCCUGUAAAUUGUGCAUGUAGUUUAAAAGACGUUCUAUAUAUUGUUCUACUAUGCCUGUGUAAUUUGUGUACCGAGGCUUUCCUGAGUGAAAACACAUUUCACCAGAACUCAUAAGCCCGCAGGAAGCCUUUUUAUAGGUGGAGCUCCGAGAUGGCAUUUUUUUGGAAUGAUUCAUCCCGCGCCCAUUCUUUUUGGCCAUGUCAUUCUGUGAACUGACACCAACAUUUUAGAGGUAGUCAUCCCUUUAAUAUCGGGCUUCUUUUUACAGAAAGAGUGGAUUACUGUGUCCUGACUCAGUGUUUGAUACUGCCUGUUCCAAAUUGGAGUGUUAGCCUUUUAAAACAUUUGCAAUGACUUUGCAGUUUGUUCUAUAGAUUCUAAUCAAAGCUGGCCAUAAUUGUCGUGGGAAUCAUCAGCGUUGUGUAAUAAAUGACUCCUGGUACAUCAUGUUCUCGGCUGUGGGAUGGACGCGGUGUGCAUGUUGUGUCCAUGCUGUCUGCAUGCGUCACAUGAGCAGAGAGAGAACAUAGCUAAGGAAUAAUAGGGGUGGAAACUACUUUUACAAGCAGCAGUUCUGUCACAACAAGCUGUUGAAUAUGCCCAGGCCUUACUUCUUUUCCAUUGCUGUGUGGAACAAAUGUACAGUGUUUAUACUCAACAAAAAUAUAAAGACACUUGGGCGUGACACGAUCUCAUAUUGAUAUCGGUACGAUAUCAGCAAAAACUGAUUAUAUUGGCAUGCAUCUAAAACAGGGGUCUCAAACUCAAUUUACCUGGGGGCCACUGGAGCUAGGGUCUGGGCGAGGCUGGGCCGCAUCAGGUUUCCCCCCCCAAAAAAAACGCAUUUAUUAAAAACAUAAAAAUUAAUAAACUUUGCUUUGGUUACAAUUUUCUAGAAGAAAAGCUCUGAUAAAACAUUCCACUGUUCUCAAAUAUCUUCAUUUUUAUUUUUCUACACAAAAUAAGAUCAAGAAUAAAGAAAAUCAAUCAAUCACUAAUAAUUAAAUAUAAUAAUAAAACAGCAAAUAAUUAAAAAUUAAGAAACCACAUAUAGUUGGUGGGUAGACAAAAUAUUUUUUUCAGAUUAAAAUGAACAAAGCAUUAUUAGAGCCCUGUAGACAUGACAAAACACGACUAUAGUCACAUUAAUACUCUUUUUAUUUACAACAUAUUGCGCAACUGCAGGGUCUUGAGACACAUGCUAACUCGCAAAUUAGAGAGCUAGCGACCUAAACGGUAGCCUGCAAGUUAUUUCCUUUAAACUUAAAAAGCCAAAAACUUACCACUUCCACACGGAUAGGGAGGAUAACUAUUAAGAGUUAUUUAACAUUUAACAUUAAUCAAACGUAAUAAUUUUUUCUGGGUACAUGAUACCAUACAGCAUCCAUAUCAAACUUGCACGGGCCGCACUAACAUUAAACUUUCAUAUCAAGGCGGGGGCCUCAAACUAGUGUCCUGCGGGCCACAUUUGGCCCGCGGGCCGCGUGUUUGAGACCCCUGAUCCAAAAUCUCCCACAUUGACACUCUUGAUACAAGCAGUCGAUUCCAGACUCAGAACAACAGCAUUAUACAGCCUAAUUAUUGCCUUGGGUUGGCCACAACAAAAGGCCGCUCCAAAAAUGUAAUGUGUCCAUAAGUUUCCGUUGUCCAUAUGCCACUCAAUCUGCAACACAGGUACAUUUUAUUGAUGAUUGAUUUAUAAAUGCAGUGACAAGAUCCUGAUACACAUUGUUGUGCCAUUCAGCCAUGAGCAUCACAUCGUGUUGCGGCAUGAUUGCAAGGAUCUGUACACAACUCCUGGAAGCUAGCAACACCCCAUACUCUCCUGAUAUGUCACCCAUUCACCAUGUUUGGGUUGCUCUGGAUCAGUGAAUACGGUAUUUGAGGCAAAUGGGGGUCACAAUGGGGAUACUGACUGGUUUUCCGACCCCCCAAUACCGUUAAAGUACACAUUUUGGAGUGGCCACAGAUUUUUGAAAAGUAUUCCAUAGAAGUUGCCUUUUGUGUCCCCAGAAAAAUAACAUUCAUGAUUUAAUAAAUUAUUAUUAAUACAUUAUUUCAGAUUGUUCUUUUUUUAUUGUGAUGUUUGAUUCUUUUAUUCUAUUAACAAUAUUUCUUGGCUCUAAAUGACACUACAGCAGCUGUGUUCUGUAUGAGUGAUUGUAUAUUAAGUAAGGGAGUAAUUAUGAUUAUCACAUCCAUCUCUUAAAUUGGUCCCCAAGAGAGGAACACUAUCGGUUGUCUUGUUGUGUUGGAUUACUGUCAAUUUAGCAUGCCAUGUUAUUUGCUAAUGCAGCCAUGUCAUUCAAGUCAUGUGUGUGCAACAGCUUUUUCUUGUUUGUUAUAUAUGGACUAGAAUAUUUCAUGUUGCCGUAAUGUCUUCUCGCAUUUAAGUAAUGCUAAUCUGCGACUAGACUCAUCUCUUCCGUUUUCAAUAGAUAAUUCUGCCUAGAACACCGACAUGUCAGUUUCAAUACAGUCACACUGGAGGAAAAUUGUUUCCCCAGGGGUAACAAUGACCAGUGGAUGCUUCCUGAUAAGUGGACACAAAUACAGCUUUGAUGACAAGAUGGCUUUGGACAAUAUCACAUCUCUAUUGUCUCACAAGUUUGAAUAAGCAACUCUGAGGUUUAAGUGGACCACUCGACACCACCGAAAGGGGAUGUCUAUGUGUAUUUACUUGCAGUUUGAACUGCUGCGCAGAGCAGCGUGAGGUUUGUUGAGUUUCCAGGGGUUGCUGGGUUCACAUGGCUGUGUGCUAGUUUUGCCCGAAGGCCUGUCCUUGAACUGUGGAAGAAUAAGCCGUGAGCGAAGGUCCUUUCAGACUGACUGACUGCAAUUGCUGAAGCUAGGCCAGCUGACUGAGGGCCAGGCAAGACAAAUCCGGCGCUCCUCACAAGUAUUACACAGUGGCCAGAUGAAAGUGACGCAUCACAGAACAGGUUGCUCUCUCAUUUGAAUCGCAUCAUGCUAUUUUCUAGAAAAGAUGGCAGACACGUUGUAUUUUGGGCUCUAUUUUUGGAGCAUUGGUAUUAAAAAAAACAUCAAUACCAUAUUCCCUUCAGGCAUCCGUGUAUGAAUGCUGCAAAGUGACCUAAGUCAUUACCAAGAAACUAAACUAGUAUGGUUGUCCAUGUUUUUCACCUCCUGAAUGAGUUGCUCAUUGGCUGACCUACAGCAGUUCUUCACUGGCAAGCUUUAUGUGCUCAUGUACCAACUAAAGCUGCCAGCUGAAGAACUGUUGUGGUCGGCCCUUUUCUACACUGAAGGCCGCUUCUUCUAUUGCCAGGACUGGAGUGAGGAUACUGACUGAAAGGAAUCCAUCCAUCCAUUUUCUAACGUUUCUUCUGUUCAGGGUCACUGCGUUGGAUUCUAUCCCAGCUGACCUAGACCGAGAGGCGGGGUACACCCCGCAAAGUCAAUGACUAGUCAAGAAUGAAAUGAAUUAGAUAAAAAGUGGACUUUCAUGUCAACAAUGUUUCUUCUGCAGCAUGUUCAUGUGAUGAUAUAGAAAUGUACCAUGACAUGUGCUGUUGUAUGGAACAAGACCAUUGCAUCGAAGAACACCCAUCAUCAUACGUCAGGAGUAAAUAAGCAAAAGGACUAAAGCUGUCUCCUUUCAAAGUAAUGAAACAAGAAGAUAAAAAAAAAUACUGUAUAUCUCGUCAAAUUUGAGAUACUGUAUAUCUCGGAAUUGAAACGUCCUGGCCUAGAUGAAUGUACACAUUUUGUACAACUAUAAGGUAAUGGUAAUGGUUUUAUUUCAUUUGAACAUGCAUCAGAUUACAAUUGAGUGCAUCCCAUAAUCAGUUCACAGUUCCACAUGUCCAAAAGAAGUAGGAAGAAGCAAAGCUUAUUAAAUCCUACCCCUCCAUCUGGUACUUUUACAAUCAAUAACUGUUACAUUUGUUCACUUCCUGCUUUCCACAAUGCAGUUUAAGUUUUUUUUAAUUGUUUUUUUUUUUUUUUUUUAAUAAUGCACCUCGUACCGAAGUACGAGGUGAUAUGACCAUACAAUGACAUAAUGGUUACCAUAGUAAGUGUCAAUAUAGUGAUAUAUAUAGCACAUCAUGAUUGGUUCAAGACUCUUCAUCCUUGUAUUUAGCAAACAUCAACUGCUUGUAUUGUUUCUUGAAUUGGCUCAUCGUUGUGCAUUGUUUCUGGUCCUUACUCAAUCCUUUCUAUAGUUUGAUUCCACAUACUGAAAUGCUAUGGCUUUCAGUUACUAAAAUCAAUACGGCUUUCUUGUGAAUCGACGGGUGCACGGUAUUGAGUAGUUCUGAGCUGCUUUUCAAGGUGUGGGCGAUAGAUAAGCAAUAAGCCUACGACUGCUCCGGAGCAUUUUUACAUAGAAUGUCUUUGUUUUUGUUAUAAAUAACCCAUUUUGAUACAAAAUCGACCUAAUUUCUGUUACGAAAGAAUUGAUAGUAAUGUGUGUAUUUAACAGAAAACCUAUACUUGCAUAUAGAUACAUAUUUAUAAAGUCACCCACUUCAGUGGCACAAUCCAAAGGAGCCAAGGUGAGCACAAGCUCGAUCAACAUCGACAGACUCAUAAUCGGCUACCAAAAAAUAGCCAAAAUGUGAGCGUAUUUUCAAAAGGUUAAAGAUAAACCAAGGAAAGUAAAGUGCAACUUCUGUCAGCAGCUUCUUGCAUGUCACAUGACAACAACCAGCAGCGUAUUGUUUAAAACCGGUAACACCGUUACGCUAACUUCAUUUUAUAUCCCCAAAAAUUAGGCUGCUAGCUGAGAGUUUUGGAAAGUUGUUUUUCAAGCCAAGUUGUUUCCAUUUUAUGUGCUCUUUGCUGAUGUGUGAUCUGCCCACUUGGACUCGAAGACAGACCUGUAAAUCCGUUGGACUGUAAUUUCGGUUUUAUUCAUCUUGCUUUCUGUCACUAAAUAAAUUAAGGUACUGUUGUUGCACACCUAAACAAGUUUAAGUGAGUGUCAGUAUUUUUUUUCAUGUGGAAAUAGUCGCAAAUGAGAACUGUUUAAUUAUAGGGCUUGCCAUUAGCUGUGCAACAAAAAAAAUAAUCUAUGGACUAUGGACAAAAUAUUAACAAAUCAAAUUCAGUUAUGAAAAUCCUUCUUAAAAGACAGCCCUAAAGAUGACAGUUUUAAGAUUCAUCCCAGUGUCAAUUGGUUUAUUUAUUGGCCUGCGGACGCUGCAACCAUCCAGACAAUGCUUGUAAUAACUUGGUUGACAAAUACACGGACUGCUGUUGUGUGCCAUCAUCGGUAUGCUUGUGCGUGUGUCGAGGCUGAUCCCAAUUCUCCGACCCAGACUGUCUUGCAGAGUAGCCUAACUAUAAACACGCACAGACAGGAAUUUUACUUGUGACCCUCAGCACUCAUAAACGGAACUUCAAUAGAGAGGCCAAUGGCCAGACCAGCAUAUGAGAGUGAGCAUGUCCCUUUAAAAGCUGCCAGCCAGAGUCCAACACAGGGAAGGAAUGUUCCGGGGCCUUAACAAAACCAGAUGCCCCAUCUUACGCUCCCCUCUCAACACAUGGUCUGAGUUGUUUUCUCAGAACCCGGCUCUAACUUAGAACCGCAUAUUGAAUCUUAAACUGAGCAAGCAUUCCUCCUCCGGUCUUCUGUGCAGCAUCUUUUAGUGUCUUCCAUCUCUUGUCCGCUCCUCUUUACCUUUGUCCUUAUGCUAGGAAGGCUUUUUCUCACCGCUCACCUUUACGCUCACACACAGGAAACACCUAAAUAGGAUUAUUGCACUCUCUUUCCCCAGCACAUCCUCUUCGUUUAGCACUGCCAGUACCUCGCAUUAGCGCACCACAACGGUGCAUAUAAAGGUUGGGCCUUGACCUCCGAUGUUGUGUAGGUUUCAGCUCAGCGACUCGUCUGCCUGAUCCGAACCCAGGGAAUUGGCCCCUGAGGGGAAUUAAGAGAUUGAACCGGUACGUUUAGCUUGAAGGAGAAGGCGCUUGAAGGAAAGGUUCAACCCUGAUUUGUCUCGCGGGUGACAGUUUCUGCAAUCGGCAGAGAGCGCUCAGACAAGAACAUGGCAGUGGGAAUGCCAUCAAUAAAAUGUUUGUCCUUAAAAUACACCUGCCCAUAUCAUAACCCCAUCGCCACCAUGGGCCACUCCAUCUGUAACACAGGAAGACGGCAGUUUGGGAUUCUCUGGAUCGGUCAUACGUUAGGUUGUCACACCCGAUACUGUUUGUUUGUGAGACGCCCCUGACCCCCAAAUAAAGUUAAACUGCAUAUUGUGGGCAGCCUAAAGCACACCAUGCUGUCUCAGUAGCAUCUUGAUUUUAGACAUUUAGACGUUUUAUGUAAAAACUUACCACUUCCACACUGAAUGAGAGGAAACCGUUUUUUCCAGUUGGGUUUUCCGGUUGGGUUUUUGCUAAUUUGUCUUAGCUGAACCCACUUUAGAGAUCAAAAAAAGGCUGCAGGCUUGUGAGCUAGGUUCAGGUGACAGUCAAAGGUUGGAUGUAGGCAGGAUAGGGUUGCUGCCGCUCUUUGGAAAAUAUAGAAGCACAGCAUGUAAAGUCAUCAGGCUGUCUUUGACUUUGCCGUAUAGCUGUCUGUUGACCCUUCCGGUUGUCACAGCGAGUUCCCCACAGUGUCGCCGAUGCAUUCUCAACCCGAGGGUCCACUUUGGGGUGGGUCACGGAGAGGAAGUCUAAAAUGAUUGAAUGCUUGUGUCAUUGCGGGUGGGUCUGAAUGCGGGGUUUGUGGCCUUUUAGUCCGCAUUUGUGGGCUACAUGACGUCUCGCAGGCUGUUUAAGAACACAAGUAGGAAAGUAUAGCUCUAAAGAUAAUCACAAUAAGGAUGGAUUUCCAGAAUAGACAGACAUGUAGCAUUGACAAAUAUUCUCCUCACGUGGCUUCCUGCACCUCAUAUCUGUUAUCAUUAUUUAAGCUGCCCUCUAGCUUCAUACGGUGCAGGAUGCUACAUUGCACAUGUGAUAAAUAUACAAAAUCUUGGAAAUACUAUAAAAGUAUAGCCUAGGUGAAGAGGAAGGAACCUAUGGCUUGGGAGCCGAUAAAAUGUUUUUAUUUUACAUAUUCUUUUGCUGGGCGGCACAGCGGUUGAGUGGUUAGCGUGGAGACCUCACAGCUAGGAGACCAGGGUUCAAUUCCACCCUCGGCCAUCUCUGUGUGGAGUUUGCAUGUUCCGGUUUCCUAGGUGCUGCUAGGUGAACUGGCGACUCCACAUUGUCCAUAGGUAUGAAUGUGAGUGUGAAUGGUUGUUUGACUAUAUGUGCCCUGUGAUUGGCUGGCGACCAGUCCAGGGUGUACCCCGCCUCUCGCUCAAAGGCAGCUGGGAUAGGCUCCAGCACCCCCGCGACCCUCAUGAGGAAAAGCGGUAGAAAAUGAAUGAAUGAAUAUUCUUUUGCUGACAUUUUAAAAUAAAACAUCACACAAAUAAAAAAAAAAAAUCAUAAAAUUCAGGAUAUAAAACUUUAUGUAUUUUAGAUGCCGAUGCCAGCUGUCCUUCACAUAUUUUCCAGGUCAGACACCAUAACUUGAUUAUUUGUGGACAGUGCGGUUACCUACCCGGGUCACUGAGAGGUCAAGAAGUAAACUCAAAUAGUCAACAAGCUAAUUCUGCAGAACCAACCCUUUUGACGAAGAAGAUGAUGAAAAGAAAGAAAGUAUGGAGUCCAGUGCAAAGCUGGAAGUCGCAUUCAUGGUGUCAUCUGGUCGUGACGUCAGGGCAAACAUGAGAACACGUCACACAAGCGAUGAGACUAAAGAAGGUUAGACCGUCUAACUUCACAAGGCUGGUCGCGUCUGGCCUUUGUUGGCUGCAGACCGUAAAAUUGGACACAGCUGACAUAUAUAUAUAUAUAUAUAUAUAUAUAUAUAUAAUUCAAAAAAAGAUGGCAUGAGUGGCAUUGAAUUGAGGCCAUGUGUACUGUAUGCACUCCUUGUACGAACUACACUAUGUCUAUUGAUUGGCACAACGCGUGCACAUUUUUUUUUAAUGGCCAAUUUUGCUUUUCACGGAGGAGUCCUUUUAAUGUGGUGUCUACUGUAAAGUCCUUUAGUCAAAGCAGUGAGACACUCCAAGGCCGGUCCCCGAAGAGGUUUACAAACCUCUCCUAAAUUCUUCCCUGAGGGUGAAAUCAUGUGAAAGCUGCUUAGGCAGAUUAUCCCUGCCUCGACGGCAGCUGGCAAUGAGAUCCUUGGGAGUGCACCUGACUCAAUACUGGUUGUGACGCAAUUGCCGCCUGUGUCCCAGCGUGCAGCCACAAUCCACUGUGACCUUUGCCCCCGGAGUGAAAUAUGCAUCUUGUACCAUGAACCUGACUGGAAGACACACAUUGCACUCAAGCCCAAAAGGUGGGAACACCCUGCACUUCUAUGAUAGUUUGAUAAUAUUGUUAAUUGAUUAUUAUAUAUAAUAUGGUAGUUCUUUAACUGAGUCCGCCUUUCAAAGCCAAUCGCAUCAAGAGUGAUGUCAAAAAUGCUAAUUUUUUACCAAUUUGUUUUCCUUAAGUCAGGGGUCUCAAACUAAAUUUACUUGGUGGCCAUUGGAGCUCAAGUCUGGGUGAGACUGGGCCACAUCAGGUUUAAAAAAAAAAGAAAAAAUGCAUUUAUUAAAAACAGAAAAAUUUAAAAAACUUCGCCUUAGUUCCAAUUUUCUACAAGAAAAGCUCUGAUAAAUCAUUCCACUGUUCUCAAAUAUCUUAAUUUUUAUUUAACAAAUAAAACAAAUCAUGAAUAAAGAAAAUCAAUCAAUCAGUAAUAAAUAAAUAAAUAUAAUAAUAAUAAAACGGCAAAUAAUAAAAACUUAAGAAAGCACAUAUAGUUGGUGGGCAGACAAAUUAUUUUUUUCAGAUUAUAAUGAACAAAGCAUUAUUAGAGCCCUGUAGACAUGACAAAACACGACUAUAGUCACAUUUAUACUCUUUUUAUUUACAACAUAUUGCGCAACUGCAGGGUCUUGAGACACAUGCUAACUCGUAAACUAGAGAGCUAGCGACCUAAACGGUAGCCUUCAAGUUAUUUCCUUUAAACUUAAAUAGCCAAAAACUUACCACUUCCACACGGAUAGGGAGGAUAACUAUUAACAGUUAUUUAACCUUUAACAUGAACAUUAAUCAAACGUAAUAAUUUUUUCUGGGUACAUGAUACCAUACGGCAUCCAUAUCAAACUUGCGCGGGCCGCACUAACAUUAAACUUUCAUAUCAAGGCGGGGGCCUCAAACUAGUGUCCUGCGGGCCACACGCAUGUUUGAGACCCCUGUCCAUUCACACGCAGAUGUAAUGCAAAUGUCAACAUGCAGUGGUUUCACCUAUCCACUGCGGCACCGUGCAGCAUGCAGCCUGCAUGCUGUCUUAAAGAAGCUCCUAUUCGUGAUGUGUUUUACACAGAGCAGCUGGUACUCGGCCAGUACAGAGCUCCUAAAAUAGAUGCUGGUUCCAGUUGGGUGGGCUGAGAGGUGAAGGAGAAAGAAAAGUGCAAGGAAGAUAUACAAGACUCGAACAAAAAGAGGGGAAGCUAUUUAUUGCAAAGCGUAGCUGCACAAAAUGUCCAUCCGUGAUCCUCUGGGCCUACAAGGCCAGUGCUCCUCACAGAAGGACUCUUAUGUAAUUGAUUGGAAAGUGUGAGUCGUAGUGGCAAGGCACAUCCAGUGUGUAAAAACAGUACUACACAGUUGAGGCCAGAGGAUGGAAGGACGCACACACGCACACACACACAGUGACCACAGAGGUGAAUUCAUCCUAUGUUGAAAUCAUAAAAGCAAACACGCAUGUGUGCUGACACGGGAAGGAGAGCCGACGUUGACCAUUCCGAGUUAAAAAUAAGUGGACCUGCACCUUGUAAGAUGGUUUUGUCUGGACUGAGGGUGCUCAGAGUUGGAUGAAACCUGACAACUUAAUCCCUAGUAGGAGAGGGAAGCAGGGACCAAAUAGACCAAAUGAUGACACUUGGGUUGAUUAAAAAGCACUUCCAGACAGGUUCCUAAUAAUUAUAUUAUAAUUAUAUUCAUUAUAUAAUAUAUAUGUAUAUUAUAGGCUGCACGGUGGUCGACUGGUUUGCGCGCAGCGAGGAGACCCGAGUUAAAUUCCACCUUCGGGCAUCUGUGUGGAGUUUGCAUGUUCUUCUCUGCAUGUUUUUCUCAUAUGUGUGUGCAUGUAUGUAUGCAUGUGUGUAUAUAUGGAUGUGUAUGUAUGUAUGUAUGUAUGUAUGUAUAUAAGAAUGUGUAUAAGUAUGUGUAUAUGUAUGGAUGUAUGUAUACUUGUCGAUGUAUGUAUGUAUUUAUGUAUGGUUAGAAGUAUGUGUGUAUGUAUGUAUGUAUAUAAGAAUGUGUAUAAGUAUGUGUAUAUGUAUGGAUGUAUGUAGAGAUAGAUAGACUCCCUUUAUUGUCAUUGCACAAAAACACAGUAGUGAAAUUGCCAACGAAAUGUCGUUGCCUGGCUCCCAUAUAAUAACAGACACAAAAGAAGAUAAGUGAUAAUAAAUAAUAAUAAUAAUAAUAAUAAUAAUAAUAAUAAUAAUGUGGAGAAUAAAUAGAAUAGACACCAAAUAUGAACAACAUAAUGUAAUGUGCAGCGUGAACAGUAAAUUGCCCAAAUAAUUUAAAUAAUUUAAAUAAAUAAUAAUAAUGUAAGUAAAGGUAGAGGGGCUUAUUUGGCAUUGAGCAGUCUGAUGGCCAGGGGGAAGUAGCUGUCUCUAAACCUGGUCGUCCUACAGCGGAUGCUGCAGAGCCUUCUCCCCGAUGCCAGGCGAGAGAACAGUCCAUGCUGGGGGUGUGUGGGGUCAGAGCAGAUCCGAUGGGCUCUAGAUACACACCGGCUGUUUGCUAUGUCCUUAAUGUAUGUAUUUAUGUAUGGUUAGAAAUAUGUGUGUAUGUAUAUGUAUAUAUGUUUGUCGUAUGUACUAUGUAUGUAUGUAUGUAUGUGUGCAUGUAUGAUUACAUACAUGAAUGUGUGCAUGUAUGAUUACAUACAUGAAUGUGUGCAUGUAUGAUUACAUACAUGAAUGUGUGCAUGUAUGAUUACAUACAUGAAUGUGUGCAUGUAUGAUUACAUACAUGAAUGUGUGCAUGUAUGAUUACAUACAUGAAUGUGUGCAUGUAUGAUUACAUACAUGAAUGUAUGUAUGUAUGUAUGUAUGUAUGCAUGGUUAUAAGUAAGUAUGCAUGUAUGCAUGUUAUAAGUAAGUAUGUAUGUAUGCAUGGUUAUAAGUAAGUAUGUAUGUAUGUGUAUGCAUGGUUAUAAGUAUGUAUAGAUGUAUGUAUGUGUAUAUUUAGUUUGUAUGUUUUCAUGUUGGUGUAUGUAUGUGUAUGUAUGUGUAUGUGCCUGCAUACAUACUUAUGUAUGUAUGUAUGUAUGUAUGUAUAUGCAGGCAUAUAUGUGUAUAUGCAUGCAUGUAUGUAUUUAUGUAUGUAUACUUGUCGUGUAUGCAUGUAUGUAUGGUUAGAAGUAUGUAUGUGUAUAUGUAUGUAUGUGUGCAUGUAUGAUUACAUACAUGAAUGUAUGCAUAUAUGUAUGGAUGUAUGUAUGUAUACUUGUCGGUGUAUGUAUGUGUAUGGUUAGAAGUAUAUGUGUAUAUUUGUAUGUGUGCAUGUAUGAUUACAUACAUGUAUGUAUGUAUGUGUAUAUGUAUGUAUGUAUGAAUGUAUACAUGUUGGUGUAUGUGUUUUUGUGUAUAAGUAUGUAUGUAUGUGUGCCCAGUGAAUGAGCCGAUGCACUCGAUUAAUAUCGAUUAUGUUCCACACCCUUAGAAUGUAUGGAUGUGUGUGUGUGUGUGUGUAUAUAUGUGUGUAUGUGAACAACAAUGGCUUUGUCGGACUUCAGGAGGUUUGCAACCAGCUGCUUAUAAGUAUCUGCAGACAUUUUUUCCACUUAAUUCUAAGAGACAUUUUCUGUAAAAUUUCUAGACAUUAAAAUGAAUGUAUCGGAAUGUGCAGAGCGCAUUUCAGAUAGAACUGGUUGCUUGUAGACACACUGUACCUUCUGAUAAACUACAGUAUUUUUUCUGGAGGGGGCACAGAUAGAUAUAUAAGAUAGAUAGAUAGAUUCCCCCAGAUCAUCUCUCCUGGGAGUGUUUGCAGAGACGUCUACUUGGUUUAUGGUCAGCGGUGCAGCAAAUACCAGUGGACUGAGACACUGUGAGGCUGAAGUCGAUGCAUUGCUCACAUAGCUGGGCUUCUUUCCAAGCAGUACGGCUUAUUUGGCUUUAAAAAGAAGCGAGGAGCAAGACUUUGUCAUUUGACAAAAAUGCAUGGGUGCAAUCAACUGGUUGCACGUUAUGGAAAAUGAUUUUUUUUUUAAUCUUUGCAGUCAAUAAUGGCCAACCAUUCCGUUCUAGGUUGAACUUCUGCAGAUUAUUUUGGCGUUAUCCAUGUGUUUCCUAACAGUCAGAUGAUUUGUCUUUAAGGCGCGACCAGGUUAAGUCUAGUGAGGUCAGACAGGAUGGCCACUGAACAACACCCAUUUAAUCUCUUGACCUAGUCCAGACAAACAGGAUUAGACCAGCUUGUGGGGGGGAUAUACUCACCUUGUGUUGGCCCGCACUUCAGUCACAUUCAAUUUCCCACUUCCCCUCUCUCUUACCCCUCAUCAGCCCUUCACAAAAGGUCAGUAGGCCCUCGUCACAUAGCUCAUCUCGGAGCCGGACUAUUUAGGCCGAUGGAGCCAUGCGCGGACGCACGGGCGCAGGGCGGUGUGGUCACAUGACCCCAGAACAUAAAGUGCAAUGAGAUGGCGAGAGGUGAUAAAACAUUACACCAAGCAAUAAAUAUGCAUGAGUGGGCAACAGUGAGGAUCAGCGGUGACUCUGCAUUUGGGACCAGGGAGGCAGUGGCCAUACGUACUAGAAUACUUCAAUAUGAAAUCACUCCACACUCUUUAUUGCUCUCUGGUUCUACCAUAUCUUACUUAUUGUGUGGAAAUAUGGGAUAAUAACUACAAAAGCAAUCUUCACUCGCUAAAUGUAUUGCAAAAAAGGCCAGUAAGGAUAAUUCAUAAUGGCGCCGACAGAGAACAUACUAACUCCUUAUUUCUAAAAUCACAAAUACUUCAACUUGCUGAGUUAAUCUUCAAACAGCUAAAAUAAUGCAUAAGGCUAAAAAUAACCAAUUAGCUAAAAAUGUCAUCCAAUACUUCUCUACAAGAGAGGAGAAAUAUGAUCUCAGGGAAGAAGUACAUUUGAAACACUUAUAUGCUAGGACUACGUUAAAAAGCCAUAGCAUUUCAGUAUGUGGAAUCAAACUAUGGAAUGGAUUGAGUAAGGAACUCAAACAAUGCACAACGAUGAGUCAAUUCAAGAAACAAUACAAGCAAUUGAUGUUUGCUAAAUACAAGGAUGAAGAGUCUUGAACCAGUCAUGAUGUGCUAUAUAUAUCACUAUAUUGACACUUACUAUGGUACACAUUAUGUCAUUGUAUAGUCAUAUCAGCUAGUACUUCGGUACGAGGUACAUUAUUAAAAAAAAAAAAAAAACACCUUAAACUGUAUUAUGGAAAGCAGGAAGUGAACAAAUGUAACAGUUACUGAUUGUAAAAGUACCAGUCACUAUAUCACUAUAUUGACACUUACUAUGGUACCCAUUAUGUCAUAUCACCUUGUACUUUCGUAUGUGACAAAAAUUAAAUAAAAGUAAAAUAAAGUAAAACAAAAAAAAACUGAAAAAACUAUAUUAGGAAAGCAGGAAGUGAACAAAUGUAACAGUUACUGAUUGUAAAAGUACCAGAUGGAGGGGUAGGAUUUAAUACGCUUUGCUUCUUCCUACUCCUUUUGGACAUGUGAACUGUGAACUGAUUAUGGGAUGCAUUCAAUUGUAAUCUGAUGCAUGUUCAAAUGAAAUAAAACCAUUACCAUUAAAUUUAAUACCCUGAUACAGUUUCUACAUACUAGAAUGCUUAUAUUUAAUGCAGGCCAAUGAUACGGUUUGAAAAUGAACCUGUUGGAUAUAAUCUCUGCCUAUCAUGCGGCUGACCCGCUGUGGUGACCCUUUAUGAAAAGCUGAAAAAUUAAUGGAAAAUAAGAACAUAAUGGCGAUAAUUCAUUAAAUCCAUUAAAAAAUGUAACCCGACUUGGUGCCUUUAAUGUGCAAUCUUCCUGUCUAUUGCAAUAAAGAGAUGCUGUAAAAAUGCACAUACUUGAUCACCAUGUUUAUGCGUUGUGUGCAUUUGCCCUUUCUCCUGGCUGCUAUGUGUUCUGGUAUGUAGCUAAAGGUCGAGGCCAGGCGGAGAGUGGCCAUCCAGGGGCCCGAUCAGGGGGGGGCUGGAGCCGGGUAGAACUGCAACAGCCAAGGUCAGCACUUCUGACAAGAAUGAGGACCGAGACGGAGAAUCAGGACAAAAAGUGUGUACACAAUCCGAAUGGGAGCUUUGGUAUAUUUCUUUUCAGAAAUGUGCCAAAUGUACACACCUUGCAAUGCUGAGCUGGGUGUCGUUCCAAAAACUUCUCACUUGCUGGUACCCCGCGGCAUGACUUCACAAGACACUUGUGCAGGCUGUUCCUGAGAAUGUUGCAAGUCAGAACAGCUACACAUGCACACGCACAUGCACACGCACGCACCCUGAGGUAUGCAACAGUCUACCUACUGGUUUGAUUCAGUAUUGCAUAAGAAACACAUCCACCGUUGUCUUGAGUAAAACCUCCCAAAGCACAAACAAAGGUGUCAACAUUACGUUAAUAAAUGGCAUGUUAACGUAACAUAUUAACAGUUAUUCACAUAAUUACUGUGCUGGAGCCUAUCCCAGCUGUCUUCUUUGGGCGAGAGGCGGGGUACACCCUGGACUGGUGACCAGCCAAUCACAGGGCACAUAUAGACAAACAACCAUUCACACUCACAUUCAUACCUAUGGACAAUUUGGAGUCGCUAGCAUGUCGCUUAACCUAGCAUGUUUUUGGAAUGUGGGAGAAAACCCACGCAUGCACGGGGAGAACAUGCAAACUCCACACAAAGAUGGCCGAAGGUGGGAUUGAACUCGGGUCUCCUAGCUAUGAGGUCUGCGUGCUAACCACUCCAUCACCGUGCAGCCCUGGCUUCCAAUCAAUGCUCAUAUUGUAAAUUUACGAGAAAAAAAAAAAAUCAAAAUUUACAAAAAAAAAAGUAGUAAUAUUUAUGAGACUGAAGUUUAGACUAAAUUAAACUUUACGUUCAAACGAUCCUCUGGCGCAUGCGCAGAAUGGCCACAAUGUGGCCAGGUUCACUGCUAUUCCCCAAGUACAUUUUACCAUCUGGUAUCAGGUUGUAAAAUCAAUACAUUAGUUAUGUAAAUAUUACUUGGUGUCAAUGAUCAGAUUUACAUAUACAUGUGAAGACACAAAGUUGCACACAAUCAUCAAGUAAGAAUUAGAUUUUAGAGUAAAAUAAGUGAAAUAAUAAAUUAAAAUGUAAACUAUUUAAUAUUUGAGGUAAUAAUAACAGGACAAAAAAAUAAUUUUUUCAGUGCAUACAGUAAGUCGCCCCUUUUCAUAGCUGCAGUCAAGUUAGAAAUAUAUUCACAGAUUUGAACUUCCGGGAUCAAAAUGUGAUCAGUCAGUAAUUUCACCUCACACAUUCAUUAUAUUUUCCACAAAUUAGUCUGGGAAAAGAGAACUAAAUUUUAAAUGAUUUUAUGAUAAUACCAAUAAAAAUGUCCCAAAAUGAUGCAUGUAUGUUUUUUUUUGUACAUGAAUAUCGUUCUGUUUUUGUACUUGAAGUAUAUUUUUUUGUAGUUGAAAGAUUAAAUUUGGUACUUGAAGGCAAUGUUUUAUAAUUGAAUAAAUCUGUUCCUUUGUACGUGUAAAAUGUGCUGUAUUUGUUUCUGAAACAGGAAGUAUUUGAACGGUACGUUUCUUACUUGCCAAACAAAAUGCAUUAGUUUGUGAUUAAUGUUUAGUAUUUAUAAACCAAACUGCAAUUAUUAUAUCUGCAAUCUGCUAUAUGCUUGUGUCCUUUUUUUCAGGAGCACUUUGUAAACAACAGACCACAUCAAAUAACCAAAUUUAUAUUUUAAAAAAAAGCUACCUAAACCAUCAAAAGGUUGGCUCAAGCCAUGAUGCUAGGUUGUAUGUUAAGUUUCAAUGAAAUACUUUGGAAAGAACGGGCGGGGCCGUAUUUAAACACUUGACAGGCCGGAUGUGGCCCCCGGGCCAUAGUUUGCUCACCACUGAUGUAAUGUAAACAAAGGAUAAUAAGAGUGUAAAGGUGACUAUAGGGGUGUUAUUACAUGUCCAGAGGGCUCUAAUAAUAGUACAAGAUGCAUUAGGAGAGUCAUAAACAGGUUUUAUAAUUAUUAAUAUUGAAUGAUUACAUUGCAAAAAUUCACUUAUCACGGUUGGGUCAUACAAAGGACCCAACAAAGGUCAUACAAAGGGCCAUAGUUUGCCCACCCCUGAUGUAGUGUAAACAAAGGAUAAUAGGAGUGUAAAGGUGACUAUAGGGGUGUUAUUACAUGUCCAGAGGGCUCUAAUAAUGGUACAAGAUGGAUUAAGACAGUCAUAAACAGGUUUUAUAGUUAUUAAUAUUGAAUGAAUACAUUGCUGGAGCCUAUCCCAGCGGUCACCGGUCAAUCACAGGACAAAGAAUAGAUAACAAUAUUUAUAAUAUAUAAAAUAUAUUCUCAUAUUCUUCCUUUAAACCUGAAGACAGCAUUCUUUCCUUACAUCCUCGUAUUGUUGACUUCCAGUGAAUUGUGCAUUUGGGCGCUUGCCAUUUCUUACGUAACCUCUUCACAUCUGUGACUCCACUAAAAAUCCACAGCGUGGAAAUAUGUGCUAGUGGAACACUUUGAAGGUUACCUUGAGCCUGCAUGGGUUGGCGGUUAUGUGGGCGCACACGUCAGGGCGCACAUGUCACCCCUGACACAAAGAAACGGUUCGACAUGACUAAAGAUUUCAACUGUAAAGUCAGAACUUUUGUGUGUGGGUAAUUCCACAACUAGCAUAGCGAAAAUGAAGGAAACAACCCCACCCAUUCUCGGUCUCUUUCUCUAUCUCAUUCCCCAGCACAAAAGGUUUACACAUUC